GUUGUAUUGUAGCUUAAACUAAAGCAUAGCACUGAAAAUGCUAAGAUGGUAUAACCCAUCAACA
rnacentral:tRNA from 1 species